rnacentral:tRNA from 1 species
UGUAUUUUUAGCUCAGAAGGAUAGAGCAACAGUUUUCUAAACUGGAGGUCAUGAGUUCGAUUCUCAUAAAAUAUAGC